UUAUUGCAAACAGACAGGCAGCUCCGUUUCCUGUUGGUUCUGUUUCCUUCCUAUUAAAUUACUGAACUGUGAGGACUGGGGAGGGCGGGUAGGAAGGGAGAUGAAGCAGGGUUAAGAGGAUUCUGUUUUCAGCAAGUAAUGAAUUCCCCAGCAGCUUUUCCCACUUAGUCCGGAUGCAUCCAUACGAUGUGAAGUUGGGCUUAAUUGCUUCAUGUUGGUGGCAGAGCUCUGAAGAUGAGGACUGGCUUUCCUACUGGAGAGCUGGCCCGUGGACCAGGCAUCUAUUGCUGAGGCCAGAUGAAAAUGGGCCAGGGCCUCUGGCCACAUGCUGCCACAGCCAAGAGAGAUGGAGCAAAGCCAUGCAGUGUCAACUUAGGUUUGAGAAAGGGGUCAGGUCAAAGUGCUGGAAGGACUCCCCAUCACUGAGUUCGUUGCCAUCAACACAACUGCAGAGCAGAGCAGAAGUGACCACACAUCCAGAGGCCACUGUGGAGGAAACACAGCAUCAGGCCCUUUCAACACUUAGUUAAUCCUCAUGUUGGCCCCAUGGAAUUAUUUUAUUUUCCUACUUUAUACACAGGAAGUCGAAGCUUGGAGAGAUUCUGUGAAUUGGUGAAGGACACAGAGCAAAGCCAGGAUUCAGAUUCAGACCUGCUUGACUCCAAGGUCAUUCCAGAAAUCUCCCUUUUCCUUUGGACCCUGUGACGUGACAGCUGGGUCCUUUCUGCUCUGAUUUCCAUGCCUGACAACCAUUUAAAUGGAAUACAAGAAUGCAGUUUUCUUAGGUUGAAAGAAAUUCACCCUUUAUCAAGAAUUAUUUAUAGUUCCUCUGGAGUGAGAGAGGAAGACGUUACCCACGCAGUGCUCUGUGGAAUCAUCUGAGCCACCACUUCUGCCUUGGGGACACCAUCUGGGGAAGUAUCUGGAUCCUUUGGCUGAACAAUGUGUUUUGAGGUCUUUAAUAUGUCACCUUAAGGAUGAGGCCUAGAGAACAUGGCCUUUUGUUGAACAGUUUGUAAGCUCUCAAAUGUGAGUAAAUGUGAGGAGGGUCUUGAGAGAUAUAGAAAGCUCAAGAAACCUAGCUAGAGUCUCUAGACUGUUGAGAAAAGUGGUGAGAAGAAAUUCCCAUUGCGGGGGAUGGGAGUGGUGGUUCAGGAGGAUUUUUGAGAAUGGGGAUAGAGAGCCUAGAAAUAAGGCCACACACCCAUGGCCAUCUGAUCUUUGACAAAGCAAGCAAUGAAUAAUGGACUCCUUGUUCAAUAAAUGGUGCUGGGUUGACUGAUUAGCCAUAUGCAGAAGAUUGAAACUGGACUCCUUCCUCACAUCAUAUACAGAAAUCAACUCAAGAUGGAUUAAAGACUUAAAUGUAAAACCCAGAACUAUAAAAACUCUGGAAGACAACCUAGGCGAUACCACCCUGGAUAUAGGAACGGGCAAAGAUUUCAUGAUGAAGACACUAAAAGCAAUUGCAGCAAAAGCAAAAAUUGACAAAUGUGAUCUGAUUAAACCUAAGAGCUUCUGCACAGCAAAAGAAAUUAUCAACAGAGUAAACAACCUACAGAAUAGGAGAAAAUAUUUGCAGACUAAGUAUCCAACAAAGGUCUCAUAUCCAGCAUCUAUAAGGAACUUAAACAAAUUUAUAAGAAAUAACUAACAAUUCCAACAAAAAGUGGGCAAAGUAUAUGAACAGACACUUUGCUAAAGAAGACAUACAUGUGGCCAACAAGCAAAUGAAGAAAAGCUCAAUAUCAUGAUUAUUAGAGAAAUGCAAAUCAAAACCACAAUGAGAUAUAUCAUCUCACACCAGUCAGAAUGGCUAUUAUUAAAAAGUCAAAAAAUAACCGAUGGCUGGUAAAGUUGCAGAGAAAAGGAAAUACUUAUACACUGUUAGUAGGAGUUUAAAUUAGUUCAACCAUUAUGGAAAGCAGUGUGGUGAUUCCUCAAAGAGCUAAAAACAGGACUACCAUUUGACCCAGCAAACCCAUUACUGGGUAUAUGUCCAGAGGAAUAGAAAUCAUUCUACCAUAAAAACAUGUGCAACAAAUGUUCAUUGUAGCACUAUUCACAAUAGCAAAGACAUGGAAUCAACCUAAAUGUCCAUCAAUGACAGAUUGGAUAAAAAAUGUAGUACAUAAAUCCCAUGGAAUACUGUGCAACCAUAAGAAAGAACAAGAUCAUGUCUUUUGCAGGAACAUGAUGGAGCUGGAGGCCAUUAUCCUUAGCAAACUAAUGCAGAAACAGAAAACUAAAUAGUGCAUGCUCUUACUCAUAAGAGGGAGCUAAAUGAGGAGACAUCAUGGAUACAAAGAGGGGAACAACAGACACUGGGACCUCUUUGAGGGUGGAGGGUAGGAGGAGGGAGAGGAGCAGAAAAACAUUAAUCUUGUUGUACAGAUUAUUUUGUCACCCAGGUACUAAAUAUGGUACUAUUGGGUACCCUACCACUGUUUUAUCAAACAAGUUUCUGUAAUAGUUUAAAUCCUUUGUUGUCAUUACAACAAUGUUCAUGGCAUCUUCACCAGGAGUAAAUCUCAUCUCAAGAAACCACUUUUUUUGCUUAUCCAUAAGAAGCAACUCCUCAUCUAUUCAAAUUUGAACAUGAGAUUGCAGCAAUCUGGUCACAUCUUCAGGUUCAUUCUAAUUCAAGUUCUCUUGCUGUUUCUACCACAUCCACAGUUACUUCCUUCACUGAAAUUUUGAACCUGUCAAAAUUUGGUACCUUACUGUUGUGUACCAGGUUUAGUACCUGGGUGACAAAAUAAUCUGUACAACAGACCCCCAUGAUACCAGUUAACCUAGGUAACAAACCUGCACAUGUACUCCUGAACCUGAAAU
rnacentral:lncRNA from 1 species